UUUGAUUAUGGCUCAAGAUGAACGCUAGCGGCAGGCCUAACACAUGCAAGUCGAGGGGGAAGUUACUUUCGGGUAACUGAGACCGGCGUACGGGUGCGUAACGCGUAUACAAUCUGCCUUUCACUGGGGGAUAGCCCGAAGAAAUUUGGAUUAAUACCCCAUAGUAUAGUAGUGUGGCAUCACACAACUAUUAAAGCUUAGGUGGUGAAAGAUGAGUAUGCGUUCUAUUAGCUAGUUGGAGAGGUAACGGCUCCCCAAGGCGAUGAUAGAUAGGGGUUCUGAGAGGGAUGUCCCCCACACUGGUACUGAGAUACGGACCAGACUCCUACGGGAGGCAGCAGUGAGGAAUAUUGGACAAUGGUCGGAAGACUGAUCCAGCCAUGCCGCGUGCAGGAUGAAGGUCUUAUGGAUUGUAAACUGCUUUUGUAAGGGAAGAAUAAGGGCUACGCGUAGUUUGAUGACGGUACCUUAUGAAUAAGCAUCGGCUAACUCCGUGCCAGCAGCCGCGGUAAUACGGAGGAUGCGAGCGUUAUCCGGAAUCAUUGGGUUUAAAGGGUCUGUAGGCGGGCUUGUAAGUCAGAGGUGAAAGCGCUUAGCUCAACUAAGCAACUGCCUUUGAAACUGUUGGUCUUGAAUGGUUGUGAAGUAGUUGGAAUGUGUAGUGUAGCGGUGAAAUGCUUAGAUAUUACACAGAACACCGAUAGCGAAGGCAUAUUACUAACAAUUAAUUGACGCUGAUGGACGAAAGCGUGGGGAGCGAACAGGAUUAGAUACCCUGGUAGUCCACGCUGUAAACGAUGGAUACUAGCUGUUUGGUUUUAAGACUGAGUGGCUAAGCGAAAGUGAUAAGUAUCCCACCUGGGGGAGUACGUUCGCAAGGAAGAAAAUCAAAAGGAAUGGAGGGAGGCCCGCACAAGCGGUGGAGCAUGUGGUUUGAUUCGAUGAUACGCAAGGAACUUUACCAAGGUUUAAUGGGGAAUGAACAGGGGUGAGGAUACUUUUUCUUUGGGAAAUUUUCAAGGUGUGGCACGGUUGUGUUCAAGCUCGUGCCGUGAGGUGUCGGGUUAAUUCCUAUAACGACGGCAACUCUGGCCAUUAGUUGCUAAGGAGUAAAGCGGAGCCCUCUAGUGGGACUGCCGGUGGGAAAUCGUAGGAAAGGUGGGGAUGACGGCGAAUUCUCCCGGGCACUGAGUUCUUGGGCUAGAGAGGGGCUAGAAGGGCCGUGAGGAGAGGGGGCGACUGCGGAGCGGAGGCGAACUCGAGAAGAACGGUCGCGGUUCGUCUCGAGCUCUGGGCCCGACCCACGGGAGACUG
rnacentral:rRNA from 1 species